UACGUAGGUGGCAAGCGUUGUUCGGAAUUAUUGGGCGUAAAGCGUGCGCAGGCGGCUUGCUAAGACAGGUGUGAAAGCCCCGAGCUUAACUUGGGAAUGGCGCUUGUGACUGGCAGGCUGGAGUGUGGCAGAGGGAGGUGGAAUUCCGACGUGUAGCAGUGAAAUGCGUAGAGAUGUGGAGGAACACCGAUGGCGAAGGCAGCCUCCUGG
rnacentral:rRNA from 1 species